rnacentral:lncRNA from 1 species
GCAAUUUUCAUCCACUUUGUAGAUGGACGUUGGAUGUUGGAGUUAAUUGCAGCAGUUUAUAUGGUUGAGGGAGCAAAGUGAAAAUAUUAUUAGUUUGGGGGUCAAAGUGGAAAUUACUUAAUACUUUUAAGGGGAAAAAGUGUAAUUUACCCAUAUAUAUUAUGUACAUUCGAGUACAUGAAUAUACAUGUUUGAACACAAGUAUAUCUGUAUGUAUCUAGCUUCAAAAAAAAUAAUAUAUCCAUACGUAUCUGAAACAAUCCAAUAGCAACCUAUUCUGGAGAACAAAACAUUAUAGGUUUAGGAUUUCAAUUUCAAGGUCUAGGGUUGUAUGUUUUAACUCUGAUUUUUUCCAAGUUAACUAAUUUGUUAACAAAUCCAAGGAAUUUGGGAUACACUAAAACUGAUUAGUUUUUCGUGAAAUCGAAUUAUGGGUGAUUGGUGACAGGGAGUUAAGUGGUGGAGGGUGGGGGGACACAGAAGGUGGUGGAGAUUUAGUUGAAUGAAAGACGAAGACGACACAAAAUUAGUGGGAGAGUGUGAGAGAGGUGGGUACCCUAAACGACGCACCGGAGAAGAAGACCUUUUUUGUUUCUGGGUUGUGGGUAUUUUUUAAUUUAUGAUUUUUUUUUUUUUUAAUUUAUGAAUGAUUUGGCUACUAUAUGCCCAAUCGCUGUUUGGGGGGCAUGAAUGCCCCAAACUUGUUCUGGUCCUUGGAUGUAAACAAUGAAUCUCAACCAUUCCAUGGAAAGUGCCAUUCCCGGUUGUGACCGGUUCCAACAGGUUGGGCUUUUUCAAUCCCCAAGGCAACAAAAACCCUCUGUUCACCCAGACUUGAUGCUUCCCAUUCUCUCUCCUCCACCUCAAAGCUGCACCAAGCAGUCCCUCUCUUUCUCGGUCCACGGCUUUGCUAAGACAAAAAUAUUUUAAGUAUCCAUAAUUUAAAAGUAAAAUUUCUAUCAUCAAAGCACAAGUAUGUGCUGUUAGGGGUUGUUUGGCUACCGGAUUGGGAGGAAAAAUAAUUUUUUUUUUUGGAUAAUUUUUUCUCCCCUAUGUUUGGCUGGCGGAUAAUUUAUGGCCCCGAAUAAUUUAUGCCCCUAGAGGUGGAUAGAGGCGAAUAAUUUUUGGGUGGCCUAGAUCCUAACUAAAAAUUAUCCGGGGAUAAAAGGGUGGGGAUAAGAAAAAAAUAUAUAAAGAUAAACCAAAUGUAUAAUUUUAUAUAUAGAGAGAGAGAAAUACAAGAUAUUUUUUAAUAUCUAAAUAUUUUAUAUUUUUGUUCUCUUUAAUAUAUUUUUUUCUUAUCCCCACUUUUAUCCAUACAUUCCUAAAAAGUAUCUAAACAGGUUAAAAUUAUUCCCUUCCAAAGUUAUCCCCCUCUAAAAUUUAUUCCCUUCCAUAUCCUCCUGCUAAACGGCCCUUGAGGGGCAAGGUUUCUCACAAUAGCACCCUGUUUGGCGGAAGGAGAUGGUCUGGAUUUGGCCAUCUCUUGAUUUUCCUUCCUCUCCCUUCUCCCCGUCUCCAUGGUUUGGCUACCAUUUUUCUCUCCAUGAUUUCUCCUCCGAUCGGACUACAAUCCAUCCACGGCUGAGAUGGGACGGACAGGGGUUCCCCCUUUCCGGGUCACACGGCCUCCGCUUGGUGGUGAAAAUACUAGUUUUGCCCUCUGCUGGAAAAAGACAGGGACUGGGGAAGCUCGUGCUGGGGAGAAGGGAAGAAGAACAGGGACAGAGACUCACAAGGCCUCUCUCUCUAGGCUUUAAUCAAAUUGGGGAGAAAGAACGGGGGGUUUGAGGAUUUAUACUUUGGGUACUUACACUGACCUCCCCUGAGGUUAUAGAUUAAUAUACAAGAAUCUUAAUGUUAAAAAAAUUAUAAUUACCUCCCCUGAAAUUUUAAAACUUAUAAUAGAUUUCCUCAAUUUAACCCCCCAAAAAAUAUUUUUUAAAUUCUAAUUAAUAUUUAAAUUUAUUUUUUUACUUGAUGUUGAUUUUAUUUUUUAUUUAUUUGGGUUUCGCAGAAAUCGGGUACCAAAAAAUCGUGUACCACUUUUUGGGAGUAACUAAUUUUGGUUAAAAAUUUAAACUAUUUUUAUUAUUUUUUUUUUGAUUUAUUAAUUUAUAACUUACUAAAUUAGAGAGAAAUGCUAGAUGACCGAAUUGGGGUGUCGGCACACACCAAUUUGAAUUUCUACCUAAUAAUUACUAUAUGUUAGAUUUUGAAUAUUUCAUCAAAAUAAAAAUUGAAUGAUAUAUUUUUAAAUUUAUAUUAAUAUUUAAAGGAAAAAUUUUUUAUUUUAAUUAUCUAAAUAUUAAUGAUAUAAUUUUAUCUAAUUAAAAAAAUUAUAUUCACAUAACACUUAAUUAAUGAAGUGGGGGUCAUAUUGUCUUUUAACUCUUAAUCCCAUCAUAUUCACAACUUCUAAUCCCCUUUCUCCACAACACAUCCAAACACCAAACUACAAUCCACCCUUCUUAAAUGUGGGUCCCCCCUUAUUAUAAAUCAUCCCUCACUUUAAAUCCAUCCUAAUUCCAAAUCCACCAAAAUCAUCUUCGACCGCCAAACGGGUUGUAGAUGUUUUAACUUAUGUUAGAUUAUUCAAAUUGAACAAUGUAACAGUGACGAUGACAGUAUCGUUGCAGUAGAGAUAUUGGUGUUGCAGUUGGUGUCAGUAGUAGUAAGAUCAUAAACGCAGGUUUCCUUCACACCUUUUUAUAAGUUCUUUCUCUCUUUUUGUUACAAUUUUUUUGUGUAAUUUUGUAUAAUCCAAUGUGUAAGUAAUACUCCAAUAAAGAGUAAAAAUAAUCACUAUUAAGUGGUAAGUUUUCUCACAAAAAUAUUAACUUGUGUUAGAUUACUCAAGACGAAUUUUUUUUAUCAUGAUAUAUAAAAUUUUACCUUUUCACAAAAUUCUUUUACAACAAAUUAAGAAAUGCUAAACACAAAUUUUGUUUGAUGACACACUUGUAAGUUGUGUAAUUGACGAGAUUUUAUGAACACAUUGUCCCCCUUUAAAUGUAUGUUGGUAGUUAAGUACUCAAGCAUAAGCAUUGAAGAUAUUUGUUAUCAAGCAAUUGAAGGAUUGUUUAAGUAUAUAAUGCAAACUCGGCUAGAAACUUGUAUGAUUCAGAAAGAAUUUUCACCCUGCAAGUUCAAACUUAAUUUUGAUCAGUUAGAUAUUGAUUCAGCCAAUUCUAUUAAGAUAAAGUUGUAGCUCUAGAUUGUCUUCUUUUCAACUCAUCACAAAUUAGCCAAUCGAAUAUCGUAGUAAAAAAUUUAUGGCCAAAAACUGAGAGCUAUACGAGCUCGCGGGAUGUCGCCGGACGUUGCGGCCUGCAACUUUCAGCUUGAUUUUGGAUAUCUUAGAGAUCGAUUCAGGCAAUUCUCAUUAGAGGUAAAGUUGUAGUUCUUGAAGUUUUCUUUCCAAACACUAAAAAUCAGCUCAAUCGGACAUCGGAAUAAAAAGUUAUGGACUUCGCGGAUUAUCGCGGGUAUCUCGCGAUAUGUUCGUGGAAAAAUAUUGAGAGCUAUUUUUUGCCACAGACUUCCCGGAAUUUCGCGAGAUCUACAGUACCCGCGAGACUCAAAAAUCUGCAACAUCGAAUUUUGCAUUUUUUAGUGUUUGUACUGAUAUUAAAGGUCCAACACACUUCCAAACAGGAAGAGACCACCGUUAUCAAUAUACUCAAGAUAACAUUAUUCUCUACCUUCCAGAGAGCUUUAUAAACGAAUCUUUAGCAAAAUCUUCAUCACUAUAUUGAGAAACCGAAUCCUUAAAGAGUUCAGGGUUGAAUCCGUUCUAAGGGGAUCUAAACGGUGAACCGAAAUCUUUGAAGGAGUUCAAGUGUGAAAUCCGUUCUAAGGAGAAUCUGAACGUGAUCACAGCACGGAGACAAAUAAUCGUGGAUACGAGUUAGUCUACACAAUCAUUAGAUUCUGGAGUUGAUGGGGUUUUUGAUUGUCAGAUUUUGUAACCGUCUAAUCCUCGGGUUAUAGUGCAUGAAUCUUUUUGUCCAGAGAUGGGGACACAUGGUUUUUUCUGUUCUCACCAUUCAAGGGUUUUUUACAGUAAAAUUAUUGGGUUCUUUCUUGAUAAUUAUUUUGCUUCUUGUUAUGUCUUGGAUCGUUCAAUUUACUCAUAGUCAACAUAUUUUUGAUUUAAUAUUGUAAUUUUAGAUCCUUGGUUAAUCCAUAGACAAAAGCCUUGGGUUUUUUAAUUAGUAUCAGAGCGAGACACUCAAAAAUUUUUAAUUUUUGAAAGAGUGAGAUCCUAAUAGUCUAAAAUCUAUGGAUUUUCCUAGAGAAGGUAGUUCUAUUUUUUGACCUCCAUUGCUUGAUGAAGAUAUAAAUGAAUUGCAGCAAGCCGAUAAUCAACUGUACAAACAGUCAUACAAGCUUGUUAAUUCAAAUGUGAAAUUGGGUAAGAAAUUGAAAGAGGCUCAAGAAGAAAUUGACUCUUUGAAAAAGAUGAAUGAGGAUGCUCAAGCUGAAAUUAAUCAAUUGAAAACUCACCGAUUAAUUUUAUCGGAUAAAGUUAAGUUUUUUGUAAAAGAUGCACAUGAUCGAGAGGGGUUCAAAAGGGCACUUGAAAAUAAGGUGCAAAAGCUUGAAACUAAACUUGCCAAUACUCAUCUGUAUUUCAAGAAAUUUGAUGUAGGUUUAUAAAAGAUUGAUGAGAUUUGGAAUGCACAAACAAUCUCUUUUGACAUGAUAGGAAUUGGAUACACAAAAAAGCAACUACACCUUCUCAACCGGCAAGUAAACCUAAUUCUACGGAGACUCAAGGUAAGUCUUUCAUACCAAAUAAGACUAAGCAUGUCAAGGCUGCUAUGUUUGUUCCUACAUGUCAUCAAUGUGGCGUUAAAGGUCAUAUUCGGCCUCAUUGUCCUAGAUUGGAGACUAAGUAUGUGCAUUCUCAAUUCAUCACCUCUCGUGUGAAACCCAAACAUUCUAAGGAUACUCAAUCUUUAAUUGGGUGUGUUAUGGGCACUCAGGAUGGGGUGGCCUUAUAAAUUCUUUGUUCACUCCAAAUUCCUUUAAAUUAGGCGGGCGGUACUAUAGCGGGGUAAAAUAAUAAAUUUACUUGCAUAGAGGACCUUCUUGGUCAACUGUUUCACCAACGAGACUUAGUUGCAAAUGAGGCUCCGUUUGGUAAUGCUUAAAAAUUAAGUUUUUUAAAUUUGUUAUAAAAAAAGUUAAAAAAAUUUAUUUUUUUUUGCUUUUCUGACUUUAAUUUAACUAAAAAUAAAUAAAAAAAUAAAAAUAAAAAGGCAAAAAAAACUAACUCUAGCUAACUUUUUGCUUAUAAGUUUAAAAAAAGACAAUCAAAAAGCUGAUACCAAACACAGCCUGAGCCCUACAAAAAUGUGGCUAUAGUUAUCCCAAUUUGUUUUUAUUAAAAAUGAAAAAAAAUAAAAACCCAAAAUAAUUAAUAAAUUAAAAAAAAAUCUAAGCCAAACAAACAAGGCUUAAGAAACUAAAUACUAAGAGAAAAUUGAAUUUGAGAGAGAGAGAGCGCGCUGAAGAGAGGGGGGACCCACAGUUGUCUGGGUUCGUGCAGGUCAAUGUGGUUAUUAACAAAGAAGCUAGGGUUCACAUUGAAAGACAAAGUUAGUCCAAGUGGUGAGGAUGAUCCUAUCCAAGACUUAAGUCAUGGUUUUGAGUUUCACCAAACUCUGGACAUAUGGUAUAGUCACUUCGGGCGGACGUUAGAUACACGAGCUAACACUCGGAGGUAUCACGUUCGAUUCCUGGUGAUUGUGUCGCACAUCCGCGUUUUACGUCCUGAGAAAGCAAAAGUCUAACUACUCAGAGAGUCGAAAAAAUAGUCUGGGUUAGUUUCGAACCGGCUUGGGAGACUCGAAUGGAGAUACUACGACGUUUAAUUCCCCGCCCCCCACCUAAAAAAACAAAGAAGCAGUGGUUCAUAUUGUCGAGAUUACUUUAUAAUUACUUGUAUCACAUGUAAUAGUGCUUUUCGAAGGGACCAAUACAGGUAAACAAGAUAUGUAGGUUCCUUUAAAAUUACGUAAAUGUUCGAUGUUUCUCAUAUUAAAAAAAGUUCCAAUUCAAAUAUUGGGAAAAAAAAAGCACGAAUUCAGUUUUGAUGAAUAAUAAUAAUAAUAAAAAAAUUAAAGUUGAAGUAGUACAAAAAAUAAUCUAACAUUAUUUUUUCUAAAAAAUAAUAUUUAAUACAUUUUAGUCUCGAAAAAUUUUGGGUUGGAAAUGCGAUUAAAAAAAAACAAAGAGUAUAAAUGUGGCUAGAGUUAAAUAAUGCAAAAAAAAAAAAUUAGAAUAUCAAUACACAAUUUAAACUAUUCAAUUUACUUUAACAUAUUUUUAUAAAAUUCAGGCUCCAUUUGCUCUUGCUAAAAAAUCUCAAGUUUUUAACUUUUAGUUAAAAAUUCAUUUACUAGUUUUAAGUCAUGAAUUAGUAGAAAAAAAAAAAACUAAUUAUAAUAAGGCCGAAUGGUUGGCCUAAAAAAUCAAAUUAAAUAAUUAUUUAUUCAACUAAAAAGGUCAAGCCAUACGAAUAGGGAUGGCAAUGGGGCGGGGCGGGGCCGGAGGUUGGUAUCCCCGUCCCGAUCCCCGAAAUUAUUUUCAAUCCCCGUCCCCGCCCCGAUUCCGGCGGGGAUUUUUUUUUACCCCCAUCCCCGCCCCUAACGGAGGGACCGGAUCCCCGCCCCGUAUCAAACCCCGGAAAAAAAACUCACGGUUGUGCGCGUGUGGUGAAAGAGAGUAACUUGAGACUCUGAGAGGCUGAGAGAGGAGAGAGUAAACCAGAUCUAGUAGUACCUUUGAACGGCGCCGACCUCUCGCGACGAUCUCGUGAGGCGGUAACAUCUAGUCGCUCGUCGUCGCGCCAUCGCCGUUGUCCAAGGCUGUGAGUCGCCCGUCCAACAUUCCUCGGCACCACCGGAACGGUCAUCGGCGCCGGACGAUGAGACUCGCCGGACUUGAGACUCGCCGACCCUCCUCUCUCUCUCUCUCUCUAGAAUGUGUGGUGUAGCUGUGUGCGUGUGAUGUUGUCUGCUAGGGCUUCCAGACCUUCAAUAUUUAUAGGGUAAAUUACACUAACCUCCCCUGAAGCUUCUGAUAAUGACGGGAACUCCCCUCAAGUUUUUAGAACGACACUAACCUCUCUUAUACUUUAAAAUAAUAUAAUUCGGGGAACGGAAAUCGGGGCGGGAAUAUACAAAACUGUCCCCCGCCCCGAUCCCCGAAUUUUUUUAUUCCCCGAUCCCCGAAAAAUCCCCGAAUAUUCACCCCGAUCGGGGCGGGGAGCGGGAUGGGGCAAAUUGCCAUCCCUACAUACGAACAAAAGUUAUUUUAUAGAAAUGACAAAAUACAUGUUUGUGUAUUUUUAUUACCUGGAGAGCAUUUACUAGAAUUGACUCGAAUGAGAAUUUCCUGUGGUAGAAACACUUGACCAUAUGAUUACAUGAAUAAGCGAGUUUUAUUUAAAUUAUAUUCACUAUAUUUUUGGCAAUUGAAAAAAAAGAAUGAAUAAUACUCUAAUAAAAAAAGAAUAAUUUAUUUAUUUAUAACAAGUACAAGAAGCUACCUAACAACAUAACACAAAGCACAUUUUUACAUCAUUGAACAAUAACCAAGUCAACCAAGGGGUAGUUUAUUAUUGGACCAUGCUACGGUCACAACAAUUGGUUUACAACCAAUUAUAACAAAGCCAAAAUGACAUCGUUUUGGCAUUUUUAACACAAAACGAUAUUAUUUCAUUUGACCAAUCCAUUUGGCAACUAAAUGAAACGAUGUCGUUUUGUGUUUAUAAUGCCAAAAACGACGUCGUUUUGACAUUGUUGUAAAUGGUUGUUGUAAACUAUUGUUGUAAACUUAGCAUUUUCCUUAUUAUAGAAAAAGAAAACAAAAUACACACAAUAAAAGCUUCUUUCCACUGGAUACUUCAAUUACCUCCUAUAUAUGGAAUAGGUAUUACUUUAGUAAGCCCAUUCAUCAUAGAGAAACCCCCAAGGGAUCCCAGGGAUGGAUCUUAGUCUCUCUGAGAUCCUAAAAGAGCUCGGAACUUUCAAACCCUUCAGCAAAGGCAUUCCUCCUUCUUCCACUUGUAACUCCUCCACAUCACAAAAAUCAAUAUGUAGGAACUGGAGUUGAGGGAAUCCUCCAGCGUUGCAAACAAAUUUAUUCACAUUAAAAUACAUCAAUUCAAGAAUUGUCAAUUGUGGAAGCUUUUCCAAUAUUGGCAUAGGAUCUUCUAGCAUCAAUCCAAAUGCCGGUAAUAGGAGGAACUUGAGAUUCGGUAGGAAUUCAUGCAACUCUGUCGGUAGCUUCCAAUCUGGUCUACUGUUCAACAACCUCAAUUGGAGGAGGUGUUCGCAAUGAGAAAGUGGUCGCAACGGAGGAAACCAAGGGGAUCCUUCAUCACAAACAGAAAAAUGAAAGGAUUGCAGGGAUCUUAAUCUACCAAUGGAGUCUAAGUGAAUCUUUUGCUCUGUCCCACAAUAAAAUACUGUACGCUCUCGAAGAUUGAUUAAAUCUGUUAGAAUGUGUAUAUGUAUAUAGGAGAGAUAGGAGAAAAGAAGCGUUUGUAUUAGGGUUUAGGAGAAGACGAGAGCAUUACACAAGGGGAGGAACGAGAGAUAAAUAGGCAAAAAGAGAAGGACAAAAUGGGGAACCUAUAUACCCAUGUGUCAUACCAACACACAUAUUACAGCUAAAUAUAUGUAACACCCCCCUCAAAUCAGGAGGUCUGGAAGAAGAUAAACUUGAGUUUGGAGACGAGAGAAUCAAACCGACCCGGUAGCAGAAGAUUUGGUAAAAAUGUCCGCUGUUGGUCGGCAGAAGACACAGGAAGGCCGCUGAACCCGUACCCACGAACAACAUGAUGUAGAAAUAAAGUGGCAGUCAAUCUCAAUAUGUUUCGUACGAUCAUGAAAAAAUCAUUGGACCAAUCAGCAGAACAGUAGCACUACGAUUUCACAGUGAAGCACAGUAGCCCCAGAAUGACUGACGCCCAUGUCUGAAGGCGCCACCGAAGCCAGAUGGCUCCUGGGUAGUGUCAGCAAGAGGCAACGGAUAUCAGCCUCAGUGCUAGAGAGAGCAAACAAGGGUCUGCUUCUUACUACGCAAGAGAUACGAGAAUCUCCUAGAAAGAAGCGAAGCCGGUAGUAGGAUCGUCGAUCCGAGGAUCCCAAGCCAAUCGGCCAUCAGAGAGGCAUGAAGUGCUGAGAGGGGAUGACUUGGUUGGAGAAGUGUAUACCAUGAAAGAGAGUGGACUUGACAUAUCGGAGAUACGAAGUACGGCAGCAUAGUGAGUGGAAAAGAGGUGCAGACAUUAACAAUGGCUGACAAGAUGAACAGCAUGCGCAAGUCAGGACGAGUGCCAGUCAGAUAAUAAGCUACCAACGAGCUGCGAUAUAGCGGUAGGGGGGGGGGCGGCAUCGGAUAACAAUUCACCAUCGAGAGAAGAAGGCGAAACAUUGCUUCCAGAGGAGUAGAGGCAGUCUUACAAUAUGAACGUCCCAGCACGGGUAAGAAGAUCAGAGGAAUACUUGGCUAGUAAGGGAAUAGCCAGUAGAGCUCGAUGAACCCUCAGACAAGAAGUAGCUCAAGGCACCAAGGUCUUUCAUCUCAAAGUGACGAUGAAGAAAAAGUCUUGAGCUCAGAAAUACCAUGAGCAUUCAUCGCCUGUAAUACCUCAUAUCGUCCACAUAGAGAAUCAAGAAGAACAAGCCACGCGGAGGACUGCGACUAAAGAGAGCAGAGUCAUAAGAGGUAAAUAGAGAGAAGCCAAGAUAACAGAUGGUGAGCAACUUGGAACAGGCACGGGGAGAUUUCUUAAGGCCAUCGCGAGCACGACGAAGCCGACACACCUGAUGUGCAGGGGAGGAUGAAGAACCGGAGGAAGCUGAAUUAAACUUCCUCAGUCAGGAUCACCAUUGAGAAAAGCAUUCUUAACAUACAUUUGACACACACCGGCCAACUACGGGCAGCAGCAACAGCACGAAGAUCCUGACAGAGGUAAGCCUGGAACAGAGCAAAAGUCUCCUCAUCGUCAAUACAAUACUAUGAGUAAAACCCUUAGCACCAGACGGGCUUUGUAGCGCUCACAGUACCCUCAGAUCGAGUCUUAAUCUGACAACUAAACCCAGGGAACACAAAAUAGUAGAUUUUCCAAGGAGGAACGAUUCAACAAGGUUUUUUGCCCCAAAAAACAAAAGUGUGAGUUUUAUCAAGAGCUUGUAGUUCCUAGUCAUAGCUUGCUGCCAAAGGGGGUUAGUACUGCACUCACGAUAGGAACGAGGAUAAUAUUGAGCUAACCCAUGGAAAAACAAUGAUAAUCUCGCAUAUGAGAGGGGAAUUUCCUUACCCGAGUGGAACGACGGACAGGAAGAUCAUAGAAGGAUGUGUAGGAGGGCAACCGGAGGGAAGAUAGUAGACGGGGACUCCAAGGCUAGUCCCAAAGAGGUGGUGACACAUCAUGGGAAGCAACCAUCAAGAAGAGCAGUAGGAACAUCAACAUCUUCAGGAAAAAGGUCAAUGGAAGGAAUCAAUCCAGCUAGGUGGGGUUCAGAGGAAGAGAUAACUGAAAAGAAGACAAGGAGAAAAAAUCUUAUGUUAACAAAAGACACGUGACGAGAGACUGCGAAGACGUCCGAGAUAAAGGAUCCCAACACGAACCUUUAUGCUCAAUCCCAUACCCAAGAAAGCAACAUAGACGAGACCUAGGCUAAAGUUUAGUUCGUCAUGUGACUGCUAACAAGACAAAGCAGGCACACCCAAAAAAACACGAGAGAAUGAUUAAUCGGGAGGAGUACAUAUGAGCUCGGUAUGGAGUAAGGUUAUAAGAAGAGGGGAGGAAACCCGAUACUAGUGUAGGCCGCGGUACAGCGCAGCUUCCCCCAAACCCUCUCGGGACAACCCGGCAGAGAUAGCCAGACAGCGCGAGUAGUGUCCAGUAAAUGACGGUGUUUACGCUCGGCUCGCCAUUCUGUUGAGAGGUCCUCGGGCAAGAUUGUGGGACGCGUGCCAUGGGCCUCGUAAAAAGUAAGGAAGGAGAAAUCACAGUAAGCGUGAGACAUUGGUCUGAGCGAAGACUUUAAUAUCUCGAGAAAAAUUGGGUUUUAACCAUGUGUAGCAAAAUCAUUGAAGUCUGUUGUAAUUGAGCUCGAUCUUUAAGAGAUAAAGCAGGUCUAUCGAGAGAAAUAAGCCACAAAUAUAACAAAAGACUGUGAAAGCAAUAGUAUUUGUGGGCGACGGGACCCCAAAUAUCAGAGUGAACCAAGUCACAAGGAGGCAGCAAGAGAUAGAACUACGUUUAUUAAAAGAUAAAGCAGGUGUUGGCAAGUUGACAAAAUUGACAACAUCAAGGUGUUCAUUAAGAGUAGGACCUAAGACACCUUUAGAUACCCGAAGAACGUAACCGUCUAAACGCACAUGACCCUAAGCGGGAGUGCCAUAUCCCCAAAGAUGGUGACGAAGGAGAAGCAAAGAAGUGGUGGCAGCAGUAAGAACAGGAAUGUGAAGAUGGACAGCUGGACCCCUCGACCAUGUCUACGGCCUCUCCUCAGGUCUGCCUGUCUGCGGCUCCUGCACAACACAACCAGUAGAGGAGAAAAAGAACAGUGAGUCCAAGAUCACAUAAUUGGACCAACAGAAAUAAGAUUAAGAGAUAGUUGAGGCACAUAGUAUGUCUUUUUCAAGAGACACCCAGCCGCCUUAGAUACAUGUCCAACAUGAUACACCAGUCUAGCUGAUCCAUUAGCAGUUUGGAUAACAGGAAAAGGAAGAGUCAGAUGAUUUAGAUGAGAACACGAAGAGAAGAUAGAUGUCAUGUGAUUUGCAACAUCCAGAGUCAAAGUACAUGGGGCAUACCUGAAGAGGAAGACAACGCAGUAGAGGGAUUACGGAAGCUGAUAGAAUCUGCUGAACAAGUGCCGGACGCUCACUGACACGAUCAGCGUAGGAGGGUGGCCGCAGCCGAGGACAACCUCAACAGUAGCAGCAGUGGACUGAGGACGAGUGUUCGGCGGGUAGGAUGGGUUGGGACAAUCAGAUUAUAAUGACCAGGGCCUUUCUUGCGGGAAACACUGGCAAAAACGAACAGGGCAAGUAAGCAAGCCGAUGAUCCUUUGCGUGGACAAAAAGGUGCACUCUUAUGCGAGAGGUGAACAGAGGAUUGAGUAACAGAGGUGAAAAACCGAGAAGAACCACCAAAAGAGCCACGACCGUUAGAAACAGGGGCAGCAAAGAGCAGUGUCCACAUGGGAAUCGUAACUCAGGCCCAGAGAGUCUCCUCAGAUACAGCUCCGAUAUAGCCUGCUCCAAUGUGGAAGAGGAAUGAGAUGAACAGAAGGGCUCGAACCGGCUCAUAAAUAUCAGAUCUGUCCCCAUAAGAAAACAGAAAUACUCCGCGUGAUCUCGAUAACGUGGACAACACAAGGUCGAAUCACCAGCAACAUAACCACUUAGGUUCGACGACGAGGCAACUGGUCACCAGAUAGAAUAUAUCGGAGGCAAGACGCACU